UUAUGACAGGGGAGAUACCAUGAUCAUGAAGGUGGUUUUCCCAGGGUGAGGCUCACCCAUUGCACUCCGGGUUUGCUGACCACUGCGAUUUCCCCAAAUGUGGGAAACUCAACUGCAUAAUUUGUGGUAGUGGGAGACUGCGUUCGCGUUAUCCCCUG